AUCCCGUGUGCUUCCAGACUCUGACCCAUAUCUGCAUUUUAUUGAAAUGAAUUUGGCUACUAAAGACUGAUCCUGGGAUGACAUCUUAGAUAUUCCUUCACCAAAAAUUCUGCCUUGCGUUGAGAACCCAGGAAACGCGUGUCUGCAUAAUGAGCAGCCGGCUUCUUGGGUCAGGUAGAAGAGUGUCUGGUGGGUGACAGAGAACUCGAUGCUGCUCAGCGCCCUAAAUGCUGGUAUUUGUGUUCUUGCAAAGCAGCCUGGGAAUGUUCAUCAUGCCAGGAAUUAAGGAGAAGGACUAGAAGACUAGAAUGCGGAAUCACGAUUCCCUAUUGUGUGCUGUUGCAUCAUUUCUAAUCAGCAUGCCACAGCGCCGACGUUACCACCACUCUGUCUACAGGUGCCACUGUCUCUGUACUCCAGCCUC
ensembl:lincRNA Gm42952 predicted gene 42952